rnacentral:rRNA from 1 species
AAUCAACGCUGGCGGCGUGCCUAACACAUGCAAGUCGAGCGAGAAAAGGGGAGCAAUCCCCUGAGUACAGCGGCGCACGGGUGAGUAACACGUGGGUAAUCUGCCCUGGAGUGGGGAAUAACACCGGGAAACCGGUGCUAAUACCGCAUACGAUCACAGAGUCUGCGGAUUUUGUGAUGAAAGGAGCAAUUCGCUCUAGGAGGAGCCCGCGGCUGAUUAGCUAGUUGGUGAGGUAAUGGCUCACCAAGGCAACGAUCAGUAUCCGGUCUGAGAGGACGGUCGGACACACUGGAACUGAGACACGGUCCAGACUCCUACGGGAGGCAGCAGUGGGGAAUUUUUGGCAAUGGGGGCAACCCUGACCAAGCAACGCCGCGUGGGUGAUGAAGUCUCUUGGGACGUAAAACCCUUUCGACGGGGACGAAAGCCGCAAGGUUUGACGGUACCCGUAGAAGAAGCCCCGGCUAACUCCGUGCCAGCAGCCGCGGUAACAC